GGACUGUAGGCUGCAACUCGCCUACACGAAGCUGGAAUCGCUAGUAAUCGCGGAUCAGCACGCCGCGGUGAAUACGUUCCCGGGCCUUGUACACACCGCCCGUCACACCAUGAGAGUUUGUAACACCCAAAGCCGGUGGGGUAACCUUUUGGAGCCAGCCGUCUAAGGUGGGACAGAUGAUUGGGGUGAAGUCGUAACAAGGUACC
rnacentral:rRNA from 1 species